rnacentral:lncRNA from 1 species
CGAAACUCGAACUUAGACCUGAAUAGUGAAGAGAACGAAUCUUACUAACUCAACCAUAUGGUAACAAUUGGCUUACGAAGUGAGUAUAGGGGCCAAAGAGCUUACAUGCGACAGGGAUGUCACCGUGACAGUAUCUCAAACUUAUCACAUAUUGUCAUGUCAAAAAAUUAAAACACAUGACAAUGAGUGAUUGUCGUGAGAUAACGUCACAGGAGUAUCCUCAGUAUAAGUAAGUUUUCUCCUUUUGGAGAUUAGUCUGUGACUAAGUCCCAACUGGUAGGGGAGCUUCAUGGCAACUUCAUCCAAGUGUUUUGAUCGGGUGAGCACAGAUAGACCCAACCACCACAAGUAAGGUUGGGGAGUUAGGUCCAUGGAAUAAUUCGUAUACGUCUAGUCGGAUUCAGUGUGAAUGAAGGAUGGAUAUCCUACUUAUUCCGAUCUUUCACAUGGCGUUUAUUAGUGAGAUGAUGUGUCAACAAACUUCAUCAAUACUUGAUUUUAUUCUUGAUUUAAAUAGAAUGUGAACCUAUUCAAUGAGCCACGCCCACAUUUAUAAUCUUUGGUGAUGAAACUUCACUUCGAGCACAGAAACGUGUAAAUACUUAUUUUAAGUGUUAGUGCUAAACAUAAUCAAUCAAGUGCCGUCAUUAGAUAGAUCUUGGACACAAAAAUCUGCCCACGUUCAUUCACACAAUUUUUUAUUUUUUAUUUUUUAUUUUUUAUUUUUUAUUAAAAAGGGGGCAAAGAGCAUGCACAUUAAUCUUCAUUGACACAUGAUCAUGACAUUUUAAUUUUCAUAACAAAAACGUUUUCGUAACAAAUAUUUUUUCUCUUCCCAAAUCAUAGAUUUAGAGGGUCCCC